rnacentral:rRNA from 1 species
AUUGAACGCUGGCGGCAGGCCUAACACAUGCAAGUCGAGCGGAGCGGCAGACGGGUGAGUAAUGCCUAGGAAUCUGCCUGGUAGUGGGGGAUAACGUUCGGAAACGGGAGCUAAUACCGCAUACUAGCAGAUGAGCCUAGGUCGGAGUAGCUAGUUGGUGGGGUAAAGGCCUACCAAGGCGACGAUCCGUAACUGGUCUGAGAGGAUGAUCAGUCACACUGGGACUGAGACACGGUCCAGACUCCUACGGGAGGCAGCAGUGGGGAAUAUUGGACAAUGGGCGAAAGCCUGAUCCAGCCAUGCCGCGUGUGUGAAGAAGGUCUUCGGAUUGUAAAGCACUUUAAGUUGGGAGGCGUUACCGACAGAAUAAGCACCGGCUAACUUCGUGCCAGCAGCCGCGGUAAUUC